UGGGAAGAACACACCCGGGUUGUUGGCUAUUCUUCCUAAUGCUCUACCACCAGACUCAAAUAGUGAAAAGAAAACUGGAGUUAGAAGAUCUGGGAUUUAAGUCAGGUCACAUCUCCUUGAUUCAUAGGUUUUCUUGUAACAAAUGGACAAUAAAAGGAUGGAAGCAAUCUCAACAAAAUAUUUUCUUCAUCAAAGCAGGGGAGCCACCAAUUUAUAUUCUCAUGUAACAGUCCCUGAUGUGCUAUAUAAGAAAGUGGAUAGGGCAGGAAGAAAUCAAAGAUCCACAUGGACACGAAUUGCAAAGGAUGGGUAGACACAUAUAAGUUGUGAUCAGGAAAUGGCAAAU